rnacentral:rRNA from 1 species
AGUAAAAGUCGUAACAAGGUCUCCGUUGGUGAACCAGCGGAGGGAUCAUUACAGAGUUGCAAAACUCCCUAAACCAUCGUGAACGUUACCCCUAAUCGUUGCUUCGGCGGGCGGCGCCGCACCCGGCGCCCCUACCAGGGGCCCUAUCGGGCGCCCGCCGGAGGCCUAUAACCCUUGUAUUAGUUUACGGCCUCUCUGAGUUUUCUUGAAUAAGUCAAAACUUUCAACAACGGAUCUCUUGGUUCUGGCAUCGAUGAAGAACGCAGCGAAAUGCGAUAAGUAAUGUGAAUUGCAGAAUUCAGUGAAUCAUCGAAUCUUUGAACGCACAUUGCGCCCCCCAGUAUUCUGGAGGGCAUGCCUGUUCGAGCGUCAUUUCAACCAUCAAGCCCCGGGCUUGUGUUGGGGACCUGCGGCUGCCGCAGGCCCCGAAAAGCAGUGGCGGGCUCGCUGUCACACCGAGCGUAGUAGCAAUCACCUCGCUCAGGGCGUGCUGCGGGUGCCGGCCGUUAAAACCCCUUAUACUUCUAAGGUUGACCUCGGAUCAGGUAGGAGUACCCGCUGAACUUAAGCAUAUCAAUAAGCGGAGGAAAAGAAACCAACAGGGAUUGCCCCAGUAACG